rnacentral:rRNA from 1 species
AACGAACGCUGGCGGCAUGCCUAACACAUGCAAGUCGAACGAGUGGCGGACGGGUGAGUAAUGUCGGGGAAAUUGCCUGACGGCGGGGGAUAACUAAUGGAAACGGUAGCUAACAACGCACACCUUUGGAUGUGGACAGAUGGGAUUAGCUAGUAGGUGGGGUAAAGGCUCACUUAGGCGACGAUCCCUAGCUGGUCUGAGAGGAUGACCGGCCACACUGGAACUGAGACACGGUCCAGACUCCUACGGGAGGCAGCAGUGGAGAAUAUUGCGCAAUGGGCGCAAGCCUGAUAGAGCCAUGCCGCGUGUAUGAAGAAGGCCUUCGGGUUGUAAAGUGCUUUCAGCGGGGAGGCGUUACCCGCAGAAGAAGCACCGGCUAACUCCGUGCCAGCCGCCGCGGUAAUUC